rnacentral:rRNA from 1 species
AAUGAACGUUGGCGGCGUGGAUUAGGCAUGCAAGUCGAACGGAUCCGGCCUUCGGGCCGGGUUAGUGGCGCAAGGGUGAGUAAGGCGACGGUAACCAACCCCGAGAUUGGGUAUAGCCGCGGGAAACUGCGGGUAAUCCCCAGCGACGCAUCGGGCCGGCAUCGGCCUGAUGUCAAAGUUUCGGCGUCUCGGGACGGGCUGUCGUGGUAUUAGGUAGUUGGCGGGGUAAUGGCCACCAAGCCUUCGAUGCCUACCGGGCGUGCGAGCGUGGCCCGGCACACUGGGACUGAGACACUGCCCAGACACCUACGGGUGGCUGCAGUCGAGAAUCUUCGGCAAUGGGCGCAAGCCUGACCGAGCGACGCCGCGUGGAGGAUGAAGGCCUUCGGGUUGUAAACUCCUGUCGAGGGGGAGGAAGGGGCGACCUUGACCUAUCCCUGGAGGAAGCACGGGCUAAGUUCGUGCCAGCCGCCGCCGUAAGAC